UACGUAGGGGGCAAGCGUUGUCCGGAAUCAUUGGGCGUAAAGCGCGUGUAGGCGGCCCGGUAAGUCCGCUGUGAAAGUCGGGGGCUCAACCCUCGAAUGCCGGUGGAUACUGUCGGGCUAGAGUGCGGAAGAGGCGAGUGGAAUUCCUGGUGUAGCGGUGAAAUGCGCAGAUAUCAGGAGGAACACCAAUUGCGAAGGCAGCUCGCUGGGACGUGACUGACGCUGAGACGCGAAAGCGUGGGGAGCAAGCAGG
rnacentral:rRNA from 1 species